rnacentral:lncRNA from 1 species
CCCCUUCUCUACCCCGUCUCCUGGGGGCCGCCGCCGUCGCAGCCUCAGUGUCCCCCCAACGCGUCCUGCACCGGAGCUCCAGCCGUCCCUCUUCACGCGCACUCCUUCGUUCGCUGGCUCACGGGCAGGAAAACAACGGAAGGAGCGCGAGGUGAACUAGGCAGUACCCCGGCUGCGCCAUGAGCAAUCAGUUGAGGAGGUAAGGUGGGGGCCGGCUCCCCCCCUCAGGCUCUUUUAACGGAUCCGAGAGCAGGGCGUCAUCAUUCCGCGACUGCCCCGCCUUCCGCGUGCGCCCGACAGCGUAUCACAGGCUUCCUCCAAAACUCCGCCCCUUUCUCUCUGGAGUUGAGACCAAGCCGGGUAUCCCAAACUACUAGUAGGAGGGAGCGAAGCGGCCGGGGUUGGGUGGGGUGGUGAAAGGGGUGUCCUCCCAAGUCCUUCAUCCCCCUGGGAGAGGGCGGAGCUCGGGCAGGUCCAUCACUUUCGCGGAAGGGGGGAAGUGCUGUCCAACUCACUUUGGGAAGUGUGCGGAGCUUGGGCCUGCCCACCUCAUUCUCGGGAGGGAGGGGGUCUUAGUCUUGCUCAACUCGCACCGCCGAGGGCGGAGCUUGGGCUUGAACCUCAAGGGAGCUCGGGAGGUUUCCCUUCGUACUUAAGAUGUGCUCCCCUCCUACGCUGGGAUCUGCAUGGGAAGCAUCUGGGAGUCCUCUGACUCAGCCUGUGCUCUCCACACAGGGAUCCCUAAGGCCAUUGAGAUGGUCCAGGGGACAUCUGUUUUUACCAUGAAGACUUCUGGUAAGUAGUGUUUAGUUCCCUCCUUGAUCUAACCCUAGUGUAACUUAGGUCAGAAGCUGAGUUUGGGAAUCAUUUCUUCAAAGGUUGCAUUAAGUACUAUAUUUAAUUAGCUUGUGUAUAGAAAAUCUGAAUUUGGAUGAGUUAUCAAAUUAUAUGGGGUGGGGUUAUUUUAAGGAACAAUCUGAUUAUCUAGUAAGAGUGAAUUUUUCUAGUGACUCUUAGCUUAUUUUGGAAACUAGAGCCCAACACAGAUUUAAGCCAACACAUUCAUUAUUGUUUAUCUUUUAACACUUGAAACAUUUAGCACAGGGUAUUAUGGAUUCCUGCAAAAAUAGUAGUGGAAACAAAGUAUAAGUCAUUACAAUAAAAGAAAACUUUAAUGAGAAGUUAUUUGCCA